GCCCCAUCCGCUCACCCUGUCUCCUCUGCCUGCAGCCUUUGUCUUCCUGGAGUCUUCACAGCCCUCGAGGACACACUGCCCCGUACACCCGGAGAUGGAUGCCGUGUACGAGCUAGCCCGUCAGAUGGACGUGGUCAUCAAGGACCUAAAGAGAUACCUGGAUAGGCACAGCUUGGAGACAUCUGAGGACAGCGACAGCUCCUGGACUACCGUCACGGCCAGUGAAGUUGAGUCCUGUUCAAGCGUCUCUCUGUCCCCUUCGAGAGCAGAUUCCCACAAUUCCAUCAUGGCGAGCGCAGCCAGCUCAUCUACAGAGGAGUCUCUGUCCCCUUUGAGUGGUGACUCCAGGACUAAAAUCACGGCGAGCGAUGUUGGCUGCUCUUCACGAGA